rnacentral:rRNA from 1 species
UCGUAGCAAUACGGGAGGUAGUCAGCGGCGCAAGGGUGCGUAACACGUGGGCAACCUGCCCGGAAGUGGGGGAUAGCUCGUCGAAAGGCGAAUUAAUACCGCAUGUGGCUAGAGGUGACAUCACCUCGAGGCCAAAGUCGGGGCAACCUGACGCUUCUGGAUGGGCCCGCGGCCUAUCAGCUAGUUGGUGAGGUAACGGCUCACCAAGGCGAUGACGGGUAGCUGGUCUGAGAGGACGACCAGCCACACUGGAACUGAGACACGGUCCAGACACCUACGGGUGGCAGCAGUCGAGAAUUUUUCUCAAUGGGGGAAACCCUGAAGGAGCGACGCCGCGUGGAGGAUGAAGGUCUUCGGAUUGUAAACUCCUGUCAUUGGUGAACAAAGCCCUCGGAGUCACUGCCGUUGGGUUUGAUAGUAGCCGAAGAGGAAGGGACGGCUAACUCUGUGCCAGCAGCCGCGGUAAUACAGAGGUCCCAAGCGUUGUUCGGAUUCAUUGGGCGUAAAGGGUGCGUAGGCGGUAGGGUAAGUCUGGUGUGAAAUCCCGGGGCUCAACCCCGGAACUGCACUGGAUACUGCUUUACUAGAGUACUGGAGAGGGAACUGGAAUUCUCGGUGUAGCA